rnacentral:rRNA from 1 species
GACGAACGCUGGCGGCGUGCCUAACACAUGCAAGUCGAACGGGGUUAUUUCUUCGGAGAUAACUCAGUGGCGAACGGGUGAGUAACGCGUGAGACACCUGCCUUUCAGUGGGGGACAACAGUUGGAAACGACUGCUAAUACCGCAUACUGUUAUCGAGCGGCAUCGCUUGAUAACCAAAGCUUAAUGUGCUGAAAGAUGGUCUCGCGUCUGAUUAGCUAGUUGGUGAGGUAAGGGCUCACCAAGGCGACGAUCAGUAGCCGGUCUGAGAGGAUGGACGGCCACAUUGGGACUGAGAUACGGCCCAGACUCCUACGGGAGGCAGCAGUGGGGAAUAUUGGGCAAUGGGGGAAACCCUGACCCAGCAACGCCGCGUGAAGGAAGAAGGCCUUCGGGUUGUAAACUUCUUUUACCAGGGACGAAUCAAUGACGGUACCUGGAGAAAAAGCAACGGCUAACUACGUGCCAGCCGCCGCUGUAACAC